AGCUCCAAUAGCGUAUAUUAAAGUUAUUACAGUUAAAAAGAUCGUAGUUGAAUUUCUGGCUGGGCAUGUGGGUCCGCUCUUAUGAGUGUGUACUAUACAUGUCUAGCCAUCCUUUGGAAGAGCCACAGUGGCAUUAAGUUGUUGGUGUGGGUAUCCCAAUCCUUUACUGUGAAGAAAUUAGAGUGGUCAAAGCAGGCUUGAGUUGUUGAAUAUAUAAGUAUGAAAAAAUAGCAAAGGACUAUUGUACUAUUUUGUUGGUUUGCCCACAAUAGUAACGAUUACCAGGGACAAUUGGGGGUAUUUGUAUUCCAUUAUUAGAGGUAAAAUUCUUGGGUUUUUGGAAGACAAACUACUGCGAAAGCAUUUACCAAAGAUGUUUUCA
rnacentral:rRNA from 1 species